UGCAGAAUCCCGUGAACCAUCGAGUCUUUGAACGCAAGUUGCGCCCGAAGCCGCGAGGCCGAGGGCACGCCUGCCUGGGCGUCA
rnacentral:rRNA from 2 species